rnacentral:tRNA from 1 species
CGCGGUCGUCGGCAAAGGCCGGGGCCGGGCGCUCGGUGCGCACCGGCGCCGGUACCGGCGGCGCCGGCGGCAGUUCGUCGACCGCCGGGCGCAG